GUUUUUCAUCAGCUUUUUUGUUAGGGUUCAUCUUUUAUUCUCCUCAGUACCAAUUUCGGAUCGAUUUAUGUACGAUCGAUAUUCAGAGAAUUGCUUUUUUUUUUUUUUUGAAUUUCUUGAAAUAUGAGUUUAGAUAGUUCUACAAUUUGUAUGAAUAAGUAACUUUGUUGGUUUUUGUCAAAAAAAAAAGUAUCUUUGUUGAUUGGAAUACCAAACUAUAAAGCAUGAAUAAGUACCUUUCUUGCAAAUUACAAUCCAAAAUCUGUCAGUCCUCUCUUCUCUAUCAAAAGGUAAAACCCUAAAACCAAAAAAAUCUGCCGCCACAGACCACAACGCAGCCUCCACCGCCGGCCAGUCGCCUACCCGAGCCACCGCCUUCCCCCAGUCUCUGCCGCCUGUGUGUUUGACUUCUGUUGGGCAUGGCUGUCACCACUCACCAUUUACAAAAUAAACCCUAAAAAUCAGUUUUAAGCACUUGUUUUUUUCUGGAUCUGCCACUGGUUGCCGCUAGAAAUCUGGGUCUCGUACCGUCUUGGUAUGAAUGUUACGAAACGUUGUCCUGUGCAACAUCCGACGUAAAAUUUUUGCCCUUAAUUGUGCAUUGGAGUACCAAAAUUUCUACAUAAUUCCAAAACGGUAUCAUGGGCAAAUAUGAUUUUGUAGAAGAAUUAUCUGGUAGUGACAAUGAUGACUUGUUACAAGAGGAGAUUCAAACUCUUUCAAGGGAAUGCUUUCCUUCUAAUAACUUUGAUGGUGCUAGCAUUCCCGCCACUGCCACUACCUGUUCGGUUAACGAUGGUAGAUAUCUCUCGGAAGAUGAAGAUGACGAUGAUGGUGAUGACAUGGAAUUAGUUCGUAGUAUAAAGGAACAAUAUGGGAUUGAAGUUGAUAUUUCUAAGCCACUUUCUUUGAAACCCUUGAUUUCUCUUCCACCAGCAUCUUCGGAUGAUGACGAUGAUGAUUUUGAAACUCUGCGAGCUAUUCAGAAGCGUUUUUCUCAGUAUGGUGAUGACAAAUCCACGGAUGCAGUGGAAUGUAAGAAUGACAGUUGUGUAGACAAAACACUCCAUGAGGAUGUCAUUGCCGCCUCUUUGGGAAGUGAGUUCAUAUAUGUACAUGGAAAUGAUUUAGGAGAAAACACUUGUGAUGUUCCGCAGAAUGUGGAGACCUCUAGUUGCACCUCUAACUUCCCUAAAAGUGCACAAACAUUUGUAGAAGCCAUAAAGAAAAAUAGAUCAUGCCAGAAAUUUAUUCGAAACAAGAUGCUUCAUAUUGAAGCAAAAAUGGAAGCAAACAGAGCGCUUCAAAAGCGCCUGAAAACACUUAGAGACUUCCAAGUGCAGUGCAAGAAGACAAUUGGUCGAGCAUUAUCUCAGAAGCAAGACUCUCGUGUCCAGCUAAUUUCAGUUCCAAAGCAGAAACCUAACACAAAGGGUUCUGAGAAAAAUGUUUCUGCCAUAUAUUACGGUCCAUUAGAGAACUCCCAUGUGGCUUUGUACAAGACUACUAUGAAAAAUUAUCCAUUAUUAUUUCAGCGGGAGAAAUGGUCAAAGAAUGAAAUUCGAGUUCUUGAGAAAGAAAUUAUAAAGCAAUUUCAGGAAAAAUUGUUCCAAACAUCUGCUGAUCUACUAAGUAAUUUUGAUGAUCAUGGGCUUGCUAAUGGCGUGGAUGACAUGAUUUCAUCAAUCACGAAUCUUGACAUUACUCCAGAAAUCAUCCAAGAGUUUUCUAGGAAGGUAGAUUGGAAUAAAUUGGCUUCUAGGCUUCCUCGUCGUUCUGGAGUCGAAUGUGAGGCAAGGUGGUUAAAUUAUGAAAACCGCUUGAUCAACCGAGACAAUUGGACAUCAGAUGAGGACAAGCAUCUUUUGCUUCUCCUUCAGAAGAAUGGGAUCCAUAACUGGAGUUAUAUUGCUGAAAAGUUGGGAACUAACCGGACUCCAUUUCAGUGCUUGGCACGCUAUCAAAGGAGUCUGAAUGCCAGUAUAUUGAAAAGAGUGUGGACAGAGGAUGAAGAUGCUCAAUUGUGCUCUGCUGUGGAGGCUUUUGGGGAGAGUAAUUGGCAAGCUGUUGCGUCUGUUUUUGAAGGACGGACGGGGACGCAGUGCUCUAAUAGGUGGCGCAAAACUUUGCUUCCUGCUAGACAAAGGGUGGGGAGAUGGAGUACUGAUGAAGAUAAACGCUUAAGGGUUGCUGUCACUCUUUUUGGAUAUAAAAGUUGGUAUCGAAUUGCUCAGUUUGUACCAGGAAGGACCCAAGUCCAAUGUAGAGAAAGAUGGGUUAAUGUUCUCGAUCCGUCUUUGAAACACGGUGAAUGGACCAAAGAAGAAGAUAUGAAGCUAAAAGAGGCUAUAUCAGAAUAUGGAUAUUGCUGGUCCAAAAUUGCUGGAUGUGUUCCUUUAAGAACAGAUAACCAGUGCCGAAGGAGAUGGAAGAAGUUGUUUCCAGAUGAAGUUCCGUUGCUCAAAGCUGCAAAACACAUAAAAGAGGUGGCACUGAUCUCCAAUUUUGUGGAUAGGGAGUCAGAGCGUCCUGCCCUUGGGAUGAAUGACUUUGUCCCAUUACCUAUUACAAAUUCAGCAAAUGAGAUGAAAAAAGAAAAGAAAUCCCAAACACGAAAAAGGAAAGGUAGGCAAUUAACUCCAAACACACAGAGCAUUUCGCAUCUGAAAGGAGUUGCAUCAAGAAAGCGUAAAAGAAAUGAUAAAUCAAGUGGGGUUGCUAAUAAUAGUAAUGAUGCAUGUAGCACUGAUGGGUACGGUAUCCUUGAAAAUAAGAAGUUUAGUCCCAUUAGAUCUGAUUCUAAGAAAAAGAAGCAUUGUGGAAACCUGAAUGCUACAAGAAAACCUUUGAAGUCAGGUAAAAGCAUACACUCCUAUGAGGGCAUUGCAGAAGAGACCAAUUGUAGGAACAUGCCAUUCAAGACCAGGUCAAGAAGGCCUGAAGGAAACAGUUUGAAGCAGAUAGAGGAUGGAAUCCAGGCAGAUGUGUCUAACAUGGUUACUGUGGGAAGGAAUAAAAGGUCCUCACGAUUGCAAUUAAGGAGUUCUUUUGCUGAAACUUCUUUUGGAGAUAACUAUGAGCAGACGGAGUUGAGAGAUGGUAAUGAGACCCAUUCUAUGGAUACAGCUGGCUCAAGUAAGGAAAAAGCUGUUAAGAAAAAGAAAAGGGAGCUGCAUACUGAUCAAUCUUUAGAAUGGGAAGAUUUGCCCUUGUCAAUUCUCUUAAAGAAAGAUAUUACUCACAAACAAAGGAGUAUUUCCAAUUUGACCUCCAAACCUCCUGUCAAACCACCCAUAUACUUGACUUAUGCGAGGCGGAACAGAAAGAGCAAUUUGGAAAAUUUGACAUAAUGCUGUUAGGGUGUAUCGGAGUGAGUUGUGCAAGCAGGGGAUGAGUUCAAGAACUAUAUAAAGGAGGAGAAAAUGCUACAGGCUUCCAAAUUCAGCAGACUGAAAAAUGGUGAAGAAAUCCCUUUAAGACCUCAAUUCAAUUGAGGUUCAGGAAAAUGUUGGUCAAGCAGAUCUUUAUUUGUAGAUGAUCCAAGGUCAUCUUCAUUCUUGUCCUUUGGAUGAAAAUUUGGCUAAAGAUGAGAUGCUAGCUGCUAGCAAUCUGAAUUCUUUAAGGAGCUCAAGACAACUAUUGCUCUUUCCCCUACCACAAGGCUUAAAUGGCUUGGCUGCAUUAUGAUGAUGAUAACACAAAACUCUUCCAUCAAAGUAUUCAGCAGACGAUCUAGGAAUAAUAUCAGAGUUUUUGAUUCUAUUAGUGGUGCUAUUACUAAUAUGGAGGGGAUCCUGAUAUGGAGGGGAUCCGAGAUCAGCAAAGCCUUUUGUAGCUAUUAUGGAGAUCAGGAAGGCUCUGUCUACAAAUGGAUAUCAUUAACCUUGGUCAUAAACUGACCAAGGAUCAGCUUCAUCUCCUUGAUUUCAACUUCACACCUGGUGAUAUUAAGGCUCCUCUUGUCAAUUCCUGAUGACAAGUCUACUGGUUUAGAUAGCAUCAACAGCUGUUUAUUUAAGAAAGCCUGAAAGAUUAGGCAAUAAAGUCUCCUUGAGGCUUCUUACGGAUGGCUUAAACCUGUUCUUGAUUCAUCCAGCUGCUAUUUACACCAUUGGCCUUCCUCCAGAUCUGGUCAAUAGAUAAAAGAUCAAUCCUCGCUAAACUUGAGAUUAUAGAUGAUAAAAGACUGCUGUCUGCCACAGUGCCGAGGAAAUACAAUAUCAUGAGGAGAGCUUCAAAUAUUAGAAUUGAAGCUGUAAUCAACAAUUCCACUGCAGGGUCCCGAAGAACUGUUAUGAAUGUUUCUGGAAUUUUAAGUCUUUCUCUCCUUUUGUCAUCGAUCAAGUUAAGUGUAAUGUUUAAGUUAGAUCUUGAUGGUUUAUUUGAAAAAAGAUCAUCUAAAAAGAUCAAAUGUGGCCUGACUUGAGAGGAUUCUCCACUUUGUUGUGGUUGUUUUCUCGCUUGUUGGAAUAUGAAAUAUUUUUAAUUUUUGUAUGUUGCACUUAGCAUUGUGUGUAGUUUCAUAUCCUCUUCAUAUUUUCACAUUGGGAUGUGUAUAUUCAUCGAUGGGAGGAUAUACAACACUCCAUUCCAAUACCCCAAAUGCCAUCAAGUAUCGAAAUUUGAAAUAGAUAAGUGAUUUUAUCCAAAAAAAAAGCAUGUAAUAAGAUACUUUUAAACUUAAUUCCAUUUAUAAGCGUGAAAUUUCCAAGCCAUAAGAUCGGUAUAUGUUCGCAGUUACUGCGAACAGGUGUGUUAAUAAAAAAAAUUAAGUUGUUCGCACUUAGUAACUGCGAACUAAAUGUUUGACUUUUCUUGACCAGAAUGUUUGUUCGCAGUUACUAAUUGCGAACCAACUCGAGGCUAAAUUCAGAAGCUGUCUUUUCUUCCUCAUUCCCCCAAAUUUCAGAAACACAAGCCUUAAAGUUUUCGACAUUUCCCUCUUAAAAACCUCCAUUAAACUAG